GUCGAAUUGCACAAAUCUGAUUUGAAUUGUCACUUCAUGUAGAGCCAACGGAAGCGGUAGUAUUUUGAAUUUUUCUCUGGACAUUCAUGAUGUUAGGCAGUUAUAAACAUACUCCUUGGAAGUAUUUUAGCAGUACUGUAUUCACUAUCAAGUGGAUACUCAAGUCUCGGUAACUACUGUAAGUGAAAACACAAUCCAGUCAACUCGUCAAUCAUUGUAGUAGGAAAGCAUUAAUGUUUGUUUGAAGACGUAUCUGUGAAGGAACAGAAAAUUACCUCACUUACUAAAGCAAGAGUGAAACUCCGAAAAAUGAUACUCAAGUCUCGGUAACUACUGUAAGUGAAAACUCAAUCCAGUUAACUCAAUCAUUGUAGUAGGAAAGCAUUAAUGUUUGUUUGAAGACGUAUCUGUGAAGGAACAGAAAACUACCUGACUUACUAAAGAUACAGUAAGUGUAUCUCACAGAUACGUGUGAAAAUCAUUUAUUCCAUUAACCAUUGUUGGCUAUCAAAGAAGAGAAACCUGUGCUCACAACUACAGAAGGAUGGAUCAGCCCUGGUAAUACAAAUACAAGGAAUGUUUCAAAAAGCAACAAUAUUCGUAAUCAUACAGCCAUACCAAGGAGAAAGCUGUAGAAAGCUCCCACUUCAAUCGGCACAUCACUUAACAAAAGAUAAUUGACAAGUUAAAAAAUAAUUGAUCUGUUUUUGUUUUUUAGUUUUCUGCAAAGAAACAUAAUUGAUUUAUUUAUAUUCUCUAAAUUCAGGUUUUUUUUAAAUUAAAUAAAACAAUUGCAUUGUAAUCAUCUAUAAUCAUUUAAUUUAAUCCUUAAUGUAUUUAUAAAUUUGCUCACUAUAUACAAUGUAAUCAAAGUGUACAGUAGUAAUAAUUGCAUAUUGUUUCUUUAUAUUAUUAAUUCAUUGUCCAAUUUGACUUAUACUAUAGAUCUUGUUAUAACUAUAGAGUAAAUAUAGAAUGUAAUAUGCAUAAUUGAUUUUUAAAUAUAUUUUCUUAAAUUUAAAAUAUUGCAUUGAAUGUAUUAAAGAAAUAUAUAAUUUACAUUUACUUAGAUAUUAAUAUGAUACAUAAUUUUUAA